AAUGUGUGACCCCAUAGAUUUCAUUCUAUCUAGUGAGAUAUAUUGUGAUAAGAAUAAGAGAAGUUCUAUCUAGUCGACCUACAAACUGCAAAUCCUCUUACUGAUUUCAUCAAGUCAUGUAAAGGAUUAGACACAAGUUGGUCUACAAACACCUAAAUCAGUCACACUGAUUCACCUUAAUGGCAUGGAUCAGCACGAAUCAACUAGUGAUCUAAUCAAAAUAUAAUCUACCAUGUUGGCUAGGUAAGUGAGAUUAGUGGGAGGAAU
rnacentral:lncRNA from 1 species